rnacentral:lncRNA from 1 species
UGUGCUGAAGGAGAUUGCAGAGGCUCAUGGGAAAUCCAUAGCCCAGGUGAGUCUGAGAUGGUUGUACGAACAAGGUGUGACAUUUGUGCCAAAGAGCUACGAUAAGGAGAGGAUGAACCAGAAUCUGCACAUCUUUGACUGGGCAUUGACUGAACAAGAUCAUCACAAAAUAAGUCAAAUCAGCCAGAGCCGUUUGAUCAGCGGACCCACCAAACCACAACUCGCUGAUCUCUGGGAUGAUCAAAUAUAAACUAUUUACUACUAUGCAGCUCCCACUCUAUUUUUAUAAUCCAUCUUUUUACCUCUUGUUUCAUUUUACGUUUAAAUAAUUCAUGCCAUGCCACUUCUUAUUUUAGAUUUCACAAUCAAUAAACUAGGCACGCGCGGCACAUGAUAUGAAUAAACUAUGUUCAAUUUUUUUUUCUUCUCUUAGUCCUUCUAUUUAUUAAAAGAAAAAAAAAUCUUGAUUAAUUGAAAUUCGAUUAAAAAAUAAGUAAAAUUUAAUAAAAAAUAAUUUCCGUAAAAAAUUGAACCUAAAUAUUAUUAAAACAAUUUAACUUUAACUUCAGUGUAUUAAUUAAUUGUUUAACCCAUUUGCAAUUUGAUCUUAAUUACUAAUGGAUGAUAUUGAAAGAUGAUUUUACACUAAGAUUAAGUUAAAUUUAUAUUAAUCUAAUUAUACAAUCUAUACACUUUGCUGCAAGUUUCUAUGGUAAAGGCCCAGGCUUCAAAUUUUGCGAUAAGGUAUGACCAAUUAUUUAAAGGAGUGGUUGAUCAGCUCUACUAUUUCUAGUGUCGUUUUAUCAAUAAAAAAUUCAAUCAAUCUUGUUUGUUAAGAAUCGGCUACACCAUAUAAGUUUUUUUUUUUUUUUUUUUUUACAUUCAACAUAUUAAGCUAUAUGUUUUCUUUAAUACAUUCUCUUAAUUGGUGAAAUUAAACAGAAUGCCGAGUGAAAGAGAUAGCCAGAGAAAUUAAUGACAAUUUAUAAAAAUAAAAAUCAUGUAAAUUCCACAUACAUAUUUAUAGAGUUUUGUACUCACGCACGUGCCUUUGUUUCUUUUUCUCUAGCUACCACAAAAUUCCAUGACUACUCUGGAUCACCUUUAGAUAGUCUAUUAUGGACCACAUUUAGUAAUCGUUAGAUUCAUUUCAGGUUUAUAUUGAUACAAUGCAUUUUACACACUAGAUCCAUUCUCACCUUCCUUUUCUCCCCAGCUUCACCGGAAUCCUCAUCUCUGUGCAUAGUUCUUGCAAACUUUCCUUUCUCAAGAGAUUGAGUAUUAACAAACAACUUGGAAUAUUGCGGUCAAGAGUGGCUCUGAUCACUGCAUAAAAACUUACAGAAACAUGCUACUAUAACAACCAUUAUUUCCUGCGCUUAUUGUACCACUUUGAAACAAUUUGAGAAUUGGAUCUCUUGAACCACUUUUAACUUGGAAAGAAGCAUAUAAUUAUCAGAAAUCACAAAUUUAGCGUGCUUUUUUUUUUUUGAAAACAAUUUCACACUUUCUUGGCCGGAAUCCUCAUCUCCGCUGUCGACGAGAUUCGCAACAUGCGGUGCUUGUGGCGGCACACCAAAACCUCCUUCCCGUGGCUCCUUUGCUUCCUCCUUGCAUCUGAGAAAAAGUUUGAGAGCUGUUCUCUGCUUCUUAUCGUGAAAAUAAUAAACACCAGCUACAUAAUCAUAGUUAUUAGUAAUUGAGUUAUAAAAUUCAUAUCAAUCAUCUAUGAAUAAUUAUAUGGUUAAAAAUUAUCAUUUCAUGAUAAUAAGUAAAAAUAAUUUCCAUUUAAUAUG